rnacentral:rRNA from 1 species
AUUGAACGCUGGCGGAAUGCUCUACACAUGCAAGUCGAACGGCAGCACGGGGGCAACCCUGGUGGCGAGUGGCGAACAGGUGAGUAAUGUAUCGGAACGUGCCCAGUCGUGGGGGAUAACGUAGUGAAAAUUACGCUAAUACCGCAUACGAUCUAUGGAUGAAAGCGGGGGAUCGCAAGACCUCGCGCGAUUGGAGCGGCCGAUAUCAGAUUAGGUAGUUGGUGGGGUAAAGGCUCACCAAGCCGACGAUCUGUAGCUGGUCUGAGAGGACGACCAGCCACACUGGAACUGAGACACGGUCCAGACUCCUACGGGAGGCAGCAGUGGGAAUUUUGGACAAUGGGCGAAGGCCUGAUCCAGCCAUUCCGCGUGCAGGAUGAAGGCCUUCGGGUUGUAAACUGCUUUUGUACGGAACGAAACGGCGAGCUCUAAUACAGUUUGCUAGGUGACGGUACCGUAAGAAGAAGCACCGGCUAACUACGUGCCAGCCGCCGCGGUAAUAC